GACGAACGCUGGCGGCGUGCCUAAUACAUGCAAGUAGAACGCACAGUUUAUACCGUAGCUUGCUACACCAUAAACUGUGAGUUGCGAACGGGUGAGUAACGCGUAGGUAACCUGCCUGGUAGCGGGGGAUAACUAUUGGAAACGCUAGCUAAUACCGCAUAAUAUUAAUUAUUGCAUGAUAAUUGAUUGAAAGAUGCAAUUGCAUCACUACCAGAUGGACCUGCGUUGUAUUAGCUAGUAGGUGAGGUAACGGCUCACCUAGGCGACGAUACAUAGCCGACCUGAGAGGGUGAACGGCCACACUGGGACUGAGACACGGCCCAGACUCCUACGGGAGGCAGCAGUAGGGAAUCUUCGGCAAUGGACGAAAGGCUGACCGAGCAACGCCGCGUGAGGGAAGGAGGUUGUCGGAUCGUAAAGCUCUGUUGUAAGAGAAGAACGGGUGUGAGAGUGGAAAGUUCACACUGUGACGGUAUCUUACCAGAAAGGGACGGCUAACUACGUG
rnacentral:rRNA from 1 species